rnacentral:rRNA from 1 species
ACGGAAGGCAGCAGUGGGGAAUAUUGCACAAUGGGGGAAACCCUGAUGCAGCGACGCCGCGUGAGUGAAGAAGUAUUUCGGUAUGUAAAGCUCUAUCAGCAGGGAAGAAAAUGACGGUACCUGACUAAGAAGCCCCGGCUAACUACGUGCCAGCAGCCGCGGUAAUACGCAGGGGGCAAGCGUUAUCCGGAUUUACUGGGUGUAAAGGGAGCGUAGACGGUUCUGCAAGUCUGAUGUGAAAGGCAGGGGCUCAACUCCUGGACUGCAUUGGAAACUGUAGAACUAGAGUGCCGGAGAGGUAAGCGGAAUUCCUAGUGUAGCGGUGAAAUGCGUAGAUAUUAGGAGGAACACCAGUGGCGAAGGCGGCUUACUGGACGGUAACUGACGUUGAGGCUCGAAAGCGUGGGGAGCAAACAGGAUUAGAUACCCUGGUA